rnacentral:rRNA from 1 species
ACGGGUGAGUAACGCGUAGGAAUAUGCCUUAAAGUGGGGGACAACUUGGGGAAACUCAAGCUAAUACCGCAUAAUCUCUUUGGAGAAAAGCUGGGGACCUUCGGGCCUGGCGCUUUAAGAUUAGCCUGCGUCCGAUUAGCUAGUUGGUAGGGUAAAGGCCUACCAAGGCGACGAUCGGUAGCUGGUCUGAGAGGAUGACCAGCCACACUGGAACUGAGACACGGUCCAGACUCCUACGGGAGGCAGCAGUGGGGAAUAUUGGACAAUGGGGGCAACCCUGAUCCAGCAAUGCCGCGUGUGUGAAGAAGGCCUGAGGGUUGUAAAGCACUUUCAGUAGGGAGGAGGAUAUUUUGGUUAAGAGCUGGGAUAUUGGACGUUACCUACAGAAGAAGCACCGGCUAACUCCGUGCCAGCAGCCGCGGUAAUACGGAGGGUGCAAGCGUUAAUCGGAAUUACUGGGCGUAAAGAGUGCGUAGGUGGUUGGAUAAGUUAUCUGUGAAAUCCCUGGGCUUAACCUGGGCAGGUCAGAUAAUACUGUUCAACUCGAGUAUGGGAGAGGGUAGUGGAAUUUCCGGU